UUGGUAAAGAAGAAACGGCCGUUUCUCACCUUACGGUUAUGCUGUAUGGUCAAGGAUUCAUGGAUUUAUCAAUGAGUUUUGAGGACGGUUCAUACCGUCCUUUUUUAUUAUC
rfam:Youngiibacter fragilis 232.1 contig_48, whole genome shotgun sequence.